rnacentral:rRNA from 1 species
AGCAGCCGCGGUAAUUCCAGCUCCAAUAGCGUAUAUUAAAGUUGUUGCAGUUAAAAAGCUCGUAGUUGAAUUUCGGGAUCAGUACGCCGGUCGUGCCUUCGGUAUGUACUGGUGUCACUGAUUCCUCCCUUCUGACGAACCGUUAUGCCAUUUAUUUGGUGUGGCGGGGAAUCAGGACUGUUACUUUGAAAAAAUUAGAGUGUUUAAAGCAGGCUCGCGCUUGAAUACAUUAGCAUGGAAUAAUGAAAUAGGACGUUUGAUUCUAUUUUGUUGGUUUCUAGGAUUGACGUAAUGAUUAAUAGGGAUAGUUGGGGGCAUUAGUAUUCAAUUGUCAGAGGUGAAAUUCUUGGAUUUAUUGAAGACUAACUACUGCGAAAGCAUUUGCCAAGGAUGUUUUCAUUAAUCAAGAACGAAAGUUAGGGGAUCGAAGACGAUCAGAUACCGUCGUAGUCUUAACCAUAAACUAUGCCGACUAGGGAUCGGAUGAUGUUAAUUUUUUAAUGACUCA